CGACACUGUGGAAAAUUUAUUUAAUUAGUUAAUGCACAUCAAAAAUUGUAUAGUGUUAAACCGAUCAUAAAAACCGGCUGAAAAAUUCAAAAACCAAUUGAAAACCAUGAUUUGGACCGAACCAAACCUGAAUUGAACCAAACCAGCCCAACUCACCCAAACCACUUCUAGAACCCCCGUUCCCCUUAUUUCCAGCGUCCACCUCCCACUUCCCCCACCCCCCCGGUUUGUGCGUUUUCCGAUCACCGGCAACCUCCCCUGCCGCCGCCGUUCCUCCCUUUCUUCUUCUUCUUUUCUUUCUUUUCUUUUCUUUUCUUUCUUUCUUCACCUGCGUCUGCAUUUCUGGCGAGAGACAGAACAGCAGAGUCGCGCCACCCACUCCAUCGCGCGCCACCGCCGCUCCUCGCUGCAGCUCAACGUCGCAGCAGCUCACCGUUCCGCCCCUCUCUCCUUUCGAACCAAGCGGAGACAGUAGCUUAGAGAGGACUGCAUCGCGCCACCACCUGCUCCACCACCAGAUCGCACCAUCGCGGCUACACAGCUCUUCCAUUGCUUCAGCGUGUCUCCAGCCACCAAGAACGAGCGCAGCACCACCGCACAGUCGCGCCACCACCCCCCUGCUGUCCAGUUAAAUCGCGCCACCUGCUCGCGGUUCCGGUGAGCGCAGCGACCUGUUUUGGUCGAUUUAACGCCACUGCUCUCACCUUCUCUUCGUUCCGGCACGUGUAGCUCCCAUUUCCGGUCAAACAAAUUCCGGCAGCAAUAUAUUGGAUUGUACGGGCCCAUCUAUUGCUCCACCUGGUCAGAAUCAGAGUUAGAGCUUCAACUUCCGCCACUUCCAAGUCAGUCAAGAAGAGAGGAGGAGGAUUUUGAUUAAAAACCAAGCAAAAAGGAGUUGAAAAUCAAGAAAUUUUCAAAUAAUUCUUAAGAAAAGCUUCUGAGAGAAAGGGAGUUGAGGAGCUAGUGGUUGCUACAGGAAAAAGGCUAGGGGAGCCUUCUAGAUCAGGAAAAGGAAAGGAAAAAGAACUAGGAGAGGAUCGUUUUUAUUUGAUGUAGAUAGUAUGCUACUGAUGUUGCUAUUGUAUAUUUGACUUCUUUUGGAGCAUGUAUGAUGUAUUAAACAUUAACAGAACAUCUAUAUAUAUUUGAGCAGAUACAUGUAAAUUAUGAUUGUAUGAAUUUUUCUAUUAUGU